rnacentral:rRNA from 1 species
GACGGAGGAUGCAAGUGUUAUCCGGAAUCACUGGGCGUAAAGCGUCUGUAGGUGGUUUCAAAAGUCCACUGUUAAAGAUUGAAGCUUAACUUACAAAAAAUUGACCGUGGAAACUUUGAAACUUUGAGUAUGAUAGGGGUAGAGGGAAGUUUCCAGUGGAGCUGGUGAAAUGCGUAGAUAUUGGAAAGACCACCAAUGGCGAAGGCACUCUACUGGGCCAUUACUGACACUGAGAGACGAAAGCUAGGGGAGCAAAUGGG